rnacentral:rRNA from 1 species
UACGGAGGGCGCAAGCGUUACUCGGAAUUACUGGGCGUAAAGCGUACGCAGGCGGUUUGUUAAGCGAGAUGUGAAAGCCCCGGGCUCAACCUGGGAACUGCAUUUCGAACUGGCAAACUAGAGUAGGGUAGAGGGGUGUGGAAUUCCAGGUGUAGCGGUGAAAUGCGUAGAGAUCUGAAGGAAUACCGAUGGCGAAGGCAGCCACCUGGGUCAACACUGACGCUCAUGUACGAAAGCGUGGGGAGCAAACAGG